rnacentral:rRNA from 1 species
AUUGAACGCUGGCGGCAGGCUUAACACAUGCAAGUCGAGCGGGGAAGGGUAGCUUGCUACCUGACCUAGCGGCGGACGGGUGAGUAAUGCUUAGGAAUCUGCCUAUUAGUGGGGGACAACAUUCCGAAAGGAAUGCUAAUACCGCAUACGCCCUACGGGGGAAAGCAGGGGAUCUUCGGACCUUGCGCUAAUAGAUGAGCCUAAGUCAGAUUAGCUAGUUGGUGGGGUAAAGGCCUACCAAGGCGACGAUCUGUAGCGGGUCUGAGAGGAUGAUCCGCCACACUGGGACUGAGACACGGCCCAGACUCCUACGGGAGGCAGCAGUGGGGAAUAUUGGACAAUGGGCGCAAGCCUGAUCCAGCCAUGCCGCGUGUGUGAAGAAGGCCUUUUGGUUGCAAAGCACUUUAAGCGAGGAGGAGGCUACUUGGAUUAAUACUCUAGGAUAGUGGACGUUACUCGCAGAAUAAGCACCGGCUAACUCUGUGCCAGCACCCGCGGUAAUACAGAGGGUGCGAGCGUUAAUCGGAUUUACUGGGCGUAAAGCGUGCGUAGGCGGCUUUUUAAGUCGGAGGUGCAACCCCUGAGCUUAACUUAGGAUUUGCAUUCGUAACUGGGAACUAGAUUAUGGGAAAAGGAUGGAAAAUUUCCGGGGUCCGUGGAAAUGCUAAAAACUGAGGAAUCCCCAGGGCAAAGGAGCCACUGGCGUGCUACUAGUGCCGCUGAUGUACAAAAUAUGGGGGAGAAAACAG